AUGAACGCUGGCGGCAGGCCUAACAUAUGCAAGUCGAGCGGCAGCGGAAAGUAGCUUGCUACUUUGCCGGCGAGCGGCGGACGGGUGAGUAAUGUCUGGGAAACUGCGUGAUGGAGGGGGAUAACUACUGGAAACGGUAGCUAAUACCGCAUGACCUCGAAAGAGCAAAGUGGGGGAUCUUCGGACCUCACGCCAUCGGAUGUGCCCAGAUGGGAUUAGCUAGUAGGUGAGGUAAUGGCUCACCUAGGCGACGAUCCCUAGCUGGUCUGAGAGGAUGACCAGCCACACUGGAACUGAGACACGGUCCAGACUCCUACGGGAGGCAGCAGUGGGGAAUAUUGCACAAUGGGCGCAAGCCUGAUGCAGCCAUGCCGCGUGUGUGAAGAAGGCCUUAGGGUUGUAAAGCACUUUCAGCGAGGAGGAAGGCAUCAUACUUAAUACGUGUGGUGAUUGACGUUACUCGCAGAAGAAGCACCGGCUAACUCCGUGCCAGCAGCCGCGGUAAUACGGAGGGUGCAAGCGUUAAUCGGAAUUACUGGGCGUAAAGCGCACGCAGGCGGUUUGUUAAGUCAGAUGUGAAAUCCCCGCGCUUAACGUGGGAACUGCAUUUGAAACUGGCAAGCUAGAGUCUUGUAGAGGGGGGUAGAAUUCCAGGUGUAGCGGUGAAAUGCGUAGAGAUCUGGAGGAAUACCGGUGGCGAAGGCGGCCCCCUGGACAAAGACUGACGCUCAGGUGCGAAAGCGUGGGGAGCAAACAGG
rnacentral:rRNA from 1 species